AUUAUAAAGCACAAAAAGGUUGAAUGACUGGAAGACUAAAAUUAAGGUUUGAUCAUGUAAUAAUUCUAGUCUCAAUUGUCCUAUAGGUCCACCAAUUAACUGCAGUACGGUGAUCAAUUAACUGAUUGUUAACAUGCAAAGGUUUGAUCAUUCCUAAUCAUGUGAUAAAAUCAAUAGAACAAAUUUGAUUUGAAUAAAACUGAAAUUCACAUUAAUAAACUAGAACAUGAUAAGGUCUCUCAACAUACAAGAUUCACCUAAACCCUAGAAAAUAACUUAGCUAUCCAUAAUCAAGAACACUAAAAUUGAAAUAAAAUUCAUGAAAUUAGAGUAAAGAAUAACCACAAAAGAUUGCAGAUUUUUGCUCCAAUUCCAAUCUUCACUCCAAGCUCUUGUUUUUCCUUUUGUAGCGUGUGUGUUCUUCUUAUCAAUUUCCAAUCCUGAUUUCUCUCUCUGUACAGCGUGUGUGUAAUGUGUACAUCAGCCGCUUGAUGUAGAUGAUGCUCUUUUCAAUUGACCGCCUUUGACUCUUCUGUUCCAACAGUGUUUGUUUUUAUUUUGGGCCAUCAUAUGAUAAUAUCUAUUGGGCCUGUAGCAAUGGUUUUAAUCAUCCCCACUUCUCUUGUAAUUAAAC
rnacentral:lncRNA from 1 species